rnacentral:rRNA from 1 species
UGGGGAAUAUUGCACAAUGGGCGCAAGCCUGAUGCAGCCAUGCCGCGUGUGUGAAGAAGGCCUUCGGGUUGUAAAGCACUUUCAGCGGGGAGGAAGGCGAUAAGGUUAAUAACCUUGUCGAUUGACGUUACCCGCAGAAGAAGCACCGGCUAACUCCGUGCCAGCAGCCGCGGUAAUACGGAGGGUGCAAGCGUUAAUCGGAAUUACUGGGCGUAAAGCGCACGCAGGCGGUCUGUCAAGUCGGAUGUGAAAUCCCCGUGCUCAACCUGGGAACUGCAUUCGAAACUGGCAGGCUAGAGUCGUGUAGAGGGGGGUAGAAUUCCAGGUGUAGCGGUGAAAUGCGUAGAGAUCUGGAGGAAUACCGGUGGCGAAGGCGGCCCCCUGGACAAAGACUGACGCUCAGGUGCGAAAGCGUGGGGAGCAAACAGG